rnacentral:rRNA from 1 species
UUCUGACCGUAAACUAUGCCAUCUAGCGAUCCGAUGGGGUAAUUUGCCUUGUCGGGGAGCUUACCGGAAACGAAAGUCUUUCGGUUCCGGGGGUAGUAUGGUUGCAAAGCUGAAACUUAAAGAAAUUGACGGAAGGGCACCACCAGGAGUGGAGCCUGCGGCUUAAUUUGACUCAACACGGGAAAACUCACCCGGCCCGGACACCGUUAGGAUUGACAGAUUGAAAGCUCUUUCUCGAUUUGGUGGUUGGUGGUGCAUGGCCGUUCUUAGUUGGUGGAUUGAUUUGUCUGGUUUAUUCCGAUAACGAACGAGACUCUAUCCUACUAAAUAGUUUCACGAUUUUCAAGUCAUGUAGACUUCUUAGAGGGAUAAGCGGUGUUUAACCGCACGAGAUUGAGCGAUAACAGGUCUGUGAUGCCCUUAGAUGUCCGGGGCUGCACGCGCGCUACACUGGAGAAUUCAGCUGGUCUUCCAUUGCCGAAAGGUAUUGGUAAACCGUUGAAACUUCUCCGUGACCGGGAUAGGGAAUUGUAAUUAUUUCCCUUGAACGAGGAAUUCCUAGUAAGUGUGAGUCAUCAGCUCACGCUG